AAGUAAACCCAACCACAAAAAAAUGGUAUUGUUAAUUCUAAAAUGCAAGUAUAAGCAGAGAUUGUUCAACAGGUAGAGAGAGGGGCACAGUAAAUAUUUGCAUUUUUACACUGUCUUGCUUCAAGGAAUGAAAGCCAAGUAAAGAGUGUUGGAAACAACAGCAAGCUUGCAUAGGCGACAAAAUUCUUCAAACCUGAAUUCCAAGUCCUGUCAGCAUCCCCUCAGCAGAUGAGCUUUGAAGAAGACUGGGAUCCGAACACUGGCAGCGCCACAUGAAUGGGGUUCAGGACAUUGACAUUGCUUGUUUUUUUUAGCAUUCUGUGAAUUUCCUAUUACAUCAGUUUCAUGAUUCAGCAUUUUCCUUUUCAUUUAUUUACAGUAAUAUAUAGCGAGAUAACCUAAGCUCGAUCGCAGGAUCCUGGAACAUAAGGUAGGCUGGGCAGCAAGGGUGUAGCCUUCUGUAAAUUUACUAUUUGCUUAGAACUCAGGGACAAAUGGGAGAAAGCAAGUCAUCCAAAGAACUGGGAAAUAUCUCCUCACCUUACUCUGAGGGUCUUCAUUUCUGUGGUAUUUAAAAUAGGUUACUGCCAUCUAGUUUGUAAGUCUAACAGAAGGCAAGAAGUGUGUAAACUGCGAACUGAUGUGCAUAAGCCAAACGCAGCUCUGAAAUGACAACGUUCAAGACGCAACUAAAGUCACCACUCUGGCGUGAUUCAGAAGUGGGCGAACUCCACCGUCUCCUGUAAACAUGUAACAAGGUGAAGCCUGGAGAUAAACUUAGAACUCCUACAAAGAUUAUUCUCCUUUCUGGAAAAAACUAUAAAUUUUCAACAAGGACAUAAAUGUGAGUGUCUUGUGGAAAAGAAUAAAGCAAACUCCUGAAAAUGUGGAGCAGGUAAAUCUGCAGGAGAGAAAAUCCUCCAGGUAAGGACACGGGCCAAUUGAACCAACGCCAUGAAAACUGCUAGCCUCGACGGCUCUGUUGUAAAAUGGAACGGCCUUCUCCGAGAGCUCCCACAAUUGUGAUAGGAAAGACUUCCAUGGCUCCCACAUGAAAGUGCUUUCUGCUUUUGGAGGUUCUAGAAACCUUAGGAGGUAGAGUCUAGCUGAAGGAUGAAGAUCACUGGGGGUGGGGGUGGGGUAUGUUAUCCUUGGCCCUUUCUCUCCUUUCUCUGCUCCCUGGCUACCAAGAGUCUAACCCUUAUGCUCUGCCACACAUUACCACUGCCAUGUUCUUCCAAAGUGACGGGGUCCAAGGGCAACAGAUUGAACUAUCUGAAGCAGUGAGCCUCAGGCAAUCUUUUCCCUCUUUAAGACAUUCUGUCAGGAAUUUUUGUCACAGUUACACAAACUCAGCUAAAAUGUCCAAAAUGUAUCCACCACUCUACAAUCCACUUGUAUACGGUGUCUUAUAAGUAUAAAAUCCUUAUUCAUGUUCAUAUCCACCAAGGAAGAGUCUCGAGAAUGUUCAUGGCGAUAGCAUAUGACUAAUCCACUGUAUCUACCCAAACGUCCAUCAACGAGGAUGUUGUAUGAAUGAACUCAUACGAUGGAAUGCUGUAGAGGAUUGGAAAUCAGUGUCCUGCAACUACAUACAGCAUCGCAGGAGGCGCAGCCCUGAGGACACCCAAGGCAAACAUCCCCAGCGCUUGGCACACCCAGAACCUCCACCCACCCUCCAUUCCUCGGGAAAACGCGGAUGAUUCCUUUCUCCUCAUCUCUCUCCGGGAUUCUGGGGGAAUGCAUCUAUGAGAAUCCUCUCGGCCUUCAGGGUUGACUCAGUCGUGACGAUGUCAUUUCUCCUCCUCUUGGUCCUUCUGGCCAGCUUCCCUUGCUCCUCUAAAACUUUCCAAGGCAGAGUUCUACCUGUUCUCACCGCAGAACUCCUCAAGGCCAGGGAGACCCUGAAAAGAGAGGAAGCCAAAGAUGCUGGAGAUUUGUGUCUAUUGCGUUUGGCUCCUCUGUGUCCGGGCUCAGCAGGGCAUAAAUAGAUAAUCAAAGAUUCUUUUCUUUACUCAGACUUCUAUAGUCAGAGGCCGAGUCUUCUCUUGACUUUAUUUUUUCACUUGAUCUUAGCCAAAAGACCGAGAAGCCAUUUGACUUUGCUUCUUUAAACUUUCUAGAUUGCACUGAGAAUUCCUCCAGUGUUAUUUGGAAAUGUUUAAAGCUUUUAAGUCAACAGCCCCAGCAGUUAAUCAGAAAGUUAUGUGUGCAUUAAUAUAUAUGCUGAGAUACUUAAAAAUACAACCUUUAUGAUCUUUUACAGCGUAUGUAUGUGUAUGUGCGUCCACAUGUGCCAAGAGAAAUACAUAAUUGCAUGCAUAACCGAUCUAAGGAGCUAGGCUAGGGGAUUGGCCAGCUCACUGGCAUAGGCCUGAGUUUAAUUCCAGGAGUAACUUACAUGAUGAAUAUCUCUCUCUCCCUCCCCUAGCCCUGUGUGUGUGUGUGUGUGUGUGUGUGUGUGUGUGUGUGUGUGUGUGUGUGUGUGUGUGUUUGAGUAUAAGCGGGUAGGUUCUGUGAUCCACUAAACAUGGUCCCUGCCCCUCUCCCCCUCCAGUCUCAUGGAUGUGGCUUCCCCAAGCCCAUCUAGAUCACAUGAAGUUUUCAACCCCGUUAACAGAAGAAAUUACAACGAUCCAAAGUUUUCACUGGAAGUUAAGAAGGCUUUCGUGAUCCUACCUGUCCUUCAUGCUGUUUCAUGUGGCCUCAAGUUCUCAUGUUGAAAACCGACUCUCAGUGCUGCAGGGCCGAGAGAGACCUUGAAGAGACAAUCGUGCUGCUCCUUCUGAGGCCCUGAGUUUGAUUCCCAACAUCUGGCAGCUCACAACCACCUGUGAGGGCAACAUCAGGGGAUGUGAUACCUUCUCCUGGCCUCCAGAGGUACCCGUCCUCAGGCAGCUCUCUUAUUAAGACCUUGGAAUCUAUUAAAAGUCUCAUUUUGAAACAAUAAAGCAAGAGGAAGAAUUUAUGAAUUGUAGAUCUUCAGCAUUAACCCAACAACAGCCUUGGAGAGGAAAAGGAUUCUUCAGAGAGAAAAAUUAAUUCCUGCCAAGAAAAAUCUAGGAACAUAAGUUAGCGAGCCCUACCAGAUGCCUCUGACUACGCUGAGCAGGAACGAGGUACAUUCUAAUUUCUCAGGAAAAAGAAUUAUAGGCUAGCCUGUGCAUCGGGCAGCGUCCAGAAGGUUCCUCGGCCAGGUUCUCAAUCACAUGUGUAGCCCACAGUGAUGUCCUCCACAUCCAAGACCCCCUCUGAUCUUUGGAUCUGAUCGGUUCUGCGUUUGUCACCACGACUGAUGCAUCCAGACAUAACUCACCUCCUCCGAUCACUGGCGUAAUCUGCAUAGUGGAAGGCCAUGUUGUUUGCAAGAUUGGCUGUAAUGAAGCCUCAUGUCAGUGCCUGCCUGUCUCUGCAAUGUGAUGGUGUUGUCUACCACUAAGUGGUGUGAUCUAUUGAUUCCUCCCUGCAAGAGUUGAGAAAAACACUUAUCAAAAGAAUGCUAUGGAUGUGAUAUUUUGGCAACAGCUAAGCUUAGGCUUUAAGAAACCUUGCAGCUUCCAGUCUCACUGUCUUAGAACACAGACCACAUCAGAUAAGAAAGCCCAGGCUAGCCAUCUUGAAGACCAGACCUCUCAUUGACAGAGAACAGCUAACAGCCAGCAACAACUGCUAGUUGUAUUUUUGAGGACCACAAAACCAACAGAAUGUAUGCAGCCACUCCUUGAUAUCCGUUUACACUGGACUCUCUAGUUCCUGUCACACUGCCAGAUGAGAGUCGCUGCCCAAGUGACCCCAGAAGCGACCAAGCAGAAGAGCCACCCCACUGAGCCCAGCGCAAGACACUGACCUAAGAAUCAUGAACAAAUAAAACCGCUACGAUUUUGAAGAACUCAAGUUGGAGCCGUUUGUUACACAGCAGUGGGUGGAUGAAGAACAAUGAUAGAUACUUUAUAUCUGACACAAUGGCUUUAGAAAACUGACUGUUCUAACCCCUCUAACAACAGCCUCUGGGAUGGUGUUAACUUGUGAGGCUAAGAUGUUUCUUCUUGUUUCCUCCCCACAGCACCUUGUCACCUCUCACAGCAAUUCACACUGAGACUGGACUGUUUAACUUUGCUUUGCCAAAAGGAAUAAUAAAGGUCCUGAAAUGAUUGCUCAGCAACUGGCUGGCCCCAGGACGACGAUGGGUGUGGAGAUGGAAGGCAUCCCCAGUGGACCUCCUCUGCCCAGAUGAGUUGUGCCUAUGCUACCCAGCUGCAGCGCCAUUGCCAAGGGCCUGGAGCCUUCUGGGAGGCCACUGGGACAGGGACCGUUGGACACGAAUAGGGAUCUCCAGAGAAAUGAAACCAAAGAUGCUGGUACCCAAGAGGACUGGUUCAAAACCCACUGAGGAUGUCCAACUAUGCAUCAGAUGAUGUAGCUUUGCAUAGAACCCACACACAUCCUGCUAUAUUCCUGAGUCACCUCUAGCUUGCCCACAAUAUCUAGUACAGGGUAAAGGCUAUGCAGAAAGUUGUUAUGGUGUAAUAUUGAGGGGCUAAUGACAAGAAGAAAAAAAUCUACGUGAUCCUUGAGCACCAUUGUCUCCUGAACAUUUUUCAUGUGUGGUUGGUUGAAUCUGGGUAUGAAGCCUGUGGCACAGACCCGCUCCAAGGCAGACUGGAAGGAUGGGGAUACAGGCAAGUGUUUCAUUUUGAGUUCAAAGAUUGUCUGUGUGGGAGGUCUUCCUUUUUCCAUUACAUCCUUCACCUAGUUGGAUGAGGCUCACCCAUGUUAUUGAGGAUAUUUCAUUUUCCCCAAUGGCUAUGGACUUGCACAUUAAUGUUAUCUAAGAAAUGGCUCAGAGGGGUUAUGAGUGUAACUCAGGUGAUAGAGUCCUUACUUAGCAUGUGCAGAGCUCUGGGUUCAAUGCCCUGGACUGCAUGUAACCCCCUUGUGGUAUAUACCUAUAAUCCUGGCACCGAGGAGGUGGAGAAAGAAAGAUCAGACAUUUAAGGACAUUCUCAGAAACAUAGCAAGUUCAAGAUAGCCCUGUGCUGCAUUAGAUUGUCUCAGAAAUCUAAACAAGCAAGAGAGAGAGGGGGGAGGAGAGAGAGAGAAGGAGGAGAAGGAAGAGGAGGAAGAAGAGGAG
rnacentral:sRNA from 1 species